rnacentral:rRNA from 1 species
CCGCUCUUCAAUCUGAAGACGUGAUGUGGACUGAAAAUAAGUAGGGAAGCACGUGAGCUGACUGUCAAGAAAAGCCGCUAUUGUUUGCAGGAUACCCGUACCGUAAACCGACACAGGUGGAUGAGGAGAGAAUCCUAAGGCCGACGGGAGAAGCAUUGUUAAGGAACUCGGCAAAAUGACUCCGUAACUUCGGGAGAAGGAGUGCCAGUAAGAUGGCCGCAGAGAAUUGGCCCAAGCAACUGUUUAGCAAAAACACAGGUCUAUGCAAAACCGAAAGGUGAGGUAUAUGGGCUGACGCCUGCCCGGUGCUGGAAGGUUAAGGGGAGAGGUUAGCGCAAGCGAAGCUUUGAACUUAAGCCCCAGUAAACGGCGGCCGUAACUAUAACGGUCCUAAGGUAGCGAAAUUCCUUGUCGGGUAAGUUCCGACCCGCACGAAAGGCGUAAUGAUUUGGGCACUGUCUCAACAAUGCACCCGGUGAAAUUGAAAUACCAGUGAAGAUGCUGGUUACCUGCGCCAGGACGGAAAGACCCCAUGGAGCUUUACUCCAGCUUGAUACUGGGAUUCGGUAUUGCAUGUACAGGAUAGGUGGGAGGCUAGGAAAUGGUAACGCCAGUUGCCAUGGAGCCAAUGUUGGGAUACCACCCUUGCAGUACUGGGUUUCUAACCAGCAGCCGUGAUCCGGCUGGGGGACAAUGUCAGGUGGGGAGUUUGACUGGGGCGGUCGCCUCCGAAAGGGUAUCGGAGGCGCUCAAAGGUUCCCUCAGAAUGGUUGGAAACCAUUCGAAGAGUGCAAAGGCAGAAGGGAGCUUGACUGCGACACCGACGGGUGGAGCAGGUACGAAAGUAGGACUUAGUGAUCCGGUGGUAUAAAGUGGGAUUGCCAUCGCUCAACGGAUAAAAGCUACCCUGGGAUAACAGGCUUAUCACUCCCAAGAGUUCACAUCGACGGAGUGGUUUGGCACCUCGAUGUCGGCUCAUCGCAUCCUGGGGCUGAAGUAGGUCCUAGGGGUUGGGCUGUUCGCCCAUUAAAGCGGUACGCGAGCUGGGUUCAGAACGUCGUGAGACAGUUCGGUCCCUAUCCGGCGUGGGCGUAAAAUAUUUGAGAGGAGCUGUCCUUAGUACGAGAGGACCGGGAUGGACUGGCCGCUGGUGUAUCUGUUGUCUUACCAAAGGCAUAGCAGAGUAGCCAAGCCGGGAAGGGAUAAACGCUGAAGGCAUCUAAGCGUGAAGCCCCCCUCAAGAUGAGAUAUCUCAUAACGUCAAGUUAGUAAGACCCCUUGAAGACGACGAGGUAGAUAGGGCAGAGGUGGAAGUGUGGUAACACAUGGAGCUGACUGUUACUAAUAGGUCGAGGGCAUAACCU